rnacentral:misc_RNA from 1 species
UAAAGUGUUGGUAGUUGCAAG